rnacentral:rRNA from 1 species
UACAGAGGUCUCAAGCGUUGUUCGGAUUCAUUGGGCGUAAAGGGUGCGUAGGUGGCGGGGUAAGUCAGGUGUGAAAUCUCGGGGCUCAACCCCGAAACUGCACUUGAUACUGCCUUGCUCGAGUACUGGAGAGGAGAUUGGAAUUUACGGUGUAGCAGUGAAAUGCGUAGAUAUCGUAAGGAAAACCAGUGGCGAAGGCGAAUCUCUGGACAGUUACUGACACUGAGGCACGAAGGCCAGGGGAGCAAACGGG